rnacentral:lncRNA from 1 species
UUCACAGCGAAAACUUAAAAACAACAUCAAUGGAGAAGUCAACAUACAAGUGUAAAAACAAAUGCAAAUAAGAUAGAAAUGGUGCUACUAAUGAACAUGACGGCACAAACACGUCUCGUAAAAGAUUCUCACUUGUGACCUUCUGCAUAUUCCUUCCAUCCUUUAGUCCAACCCAACCACUAUGUGAAAACAGCCUCCCCCAAUCCAGCUGGAGAGAGUGGACGUGCAGCACCAACAGUAGUGAGGUGAAUAGCCAACAGUGUGGGACAUGAGGAGCAGUGCUCUAAUGGAGAAACAGAUAUGAUUAAGCUGACAUACAGAUGUUGUGGCUGAAAGCAUCAUUUUAAUGUCAGCUCCUCCCGUUAAAUGUCAAGUUAAAGAUGCACGAGGAAGAAAUCGCUCCACUGUUUCAUGGUUGUUAAAAUUCUAAUAGUUCACCUAAUUUCAGUUUAUGUGACAAAACAAGC